UACGGAGGAUGCAAGCGUUAUCCGGAAUGAUUGGGCGUAAAGCGUCCGCAGGUGGCAAUGUAAGUCUGCUGUUAAAGAGUCUAGCUCAACUAGAUACAAGCAGUGGAAACUACAUAGCUAGAGUACGUUCGGGGCAGAGGGAAUUCCUGGUGUAGCGGUGAAAUGCGUAGAGAUCAGGAAGAACACCGGUGGCGAAGGCGCUCUGCUAGGCCGUAACUGACACUCAGGGACGAAAGCUAGGGGAGCGAAUGGG
rnacentral:rRNA from 1 species